ACCACUGAUCUCCCUUUGCUCUGCAGCCUGCAGCCUGAGCCUGGAGCACCCAGCCAGACCAGGGGGCUUCCCUGAUGAGCACACUGCUGAGGGCGUGCCCGGCCCGGCCGCCCCACUCAGAUUCCACGCCUGUCCCCGGACUUCAUCACUGAGGGAGAUGCCCAUGAGCAUUCACAGCCAGCCACAACCCCUGGAGUUCCUGCAGGCUGAGGGCCCUGCCCAGGCACCUGCCUCCAGCUCACCCUCCCUUCCCUGCCCUGGCCAGGCUCAAGGUCACGACCCUGAACUAAACCCUGAGGUGGCAGCAAACCUCAGGGCUACCAACAAGGACAACCUCUAGGAGAC